rnacentral:rRNA from 1 species
GAUGAACGCUGGCGGCGUGCCUAAUACAUGCAAGUCGAGCGAAUGGAUUAAGAGCUUGCUCUUAUGAAGUUAGCGGCGGACGGGUGAGUAACACGUGGGUAACCUGCCCAUAAGACUGGGAUAACUCCGGGAAACCGGGGCUAAUACCGGCUAACAUUUUGAACCGCAUGGUUCGAAAUUGAAAGGCGGCUCCGGCUGUCACUUAUGGAUGGACCCGCGUCGCAUUAGCUAGGUGGUGUGGUAACGGCUCACCAAGGCAACGAGGCGUAGCCGACCGGAGAGGGUGAUCGGCCACACUGGGACUGAGACACGGCCCAGACUCCUACGGGAGGCAGCAGUAGGGAAUCUUCCGCAAUGGACGAAAGUCUGACGGAGCAACGCCGCGUGAGUGAUGAAGGCUUUCGGGUCGUAAAACUCUGUUGUUAGGGAAGAACAAGUGCUAGUUGAAUAAGCUGGCACCUUGACGGUACCUAACCAGAAAGCCACGGCUAACUACGUGCCAGCCGCCGCGGUAA